rnacentral:rRNA from 1 species
UACGGGGGGUGCGAGCGUUGUCCGGAAUCACUGGGCGUAAAGGGCGCGUAGGCGGCCCUUCUUGUCGCGUGUGAAAGCCCCGGGCUCAACCUGGGAACGGCGCGCGAGACGGGAGGGCUGGAGUUCGGGAGAGGAGCGUGGAAUUCCCAGUGUAGAGGUGAAAUUCGUAGAUAUUGGGAAGAACACCGGUGGCGAAGGCGGCGCUCUGGACCGAGACUGACGCUGAGGCGCGAAAGCGUGGGGGAGCAAACAGG